UACGUAGGGGGCAAGCGUUGUCCGGAAUCAUUGGGCGUAAAGAGCGUGUAGGCGGCCCGAUAAGUCCGCUGUGAAAGUCCAGGGCUCAACCCUGGAAUGCCGGUGGAAACUGUCGGGCUAGAGUCCGGAAGAGGCGAGUGGAAUUCCUGGUGUAGCGGUGAAAUGCGCAGAUAUCAGGAGGAACACCAAUGGCGAAGGCAGCUCGCUGGGACGGUACUGACGCUGAGACGCGAAAGCGUGGGGAGCAAACAGG
rnacentral:rRNA from 1 species